rnacentral:lncRNA from 1 species
AGGGUGAUGUUGUAUUUUGGUAUAACCUGAAACAAUCUGGUAUCGGAGAUAAUUCGACAUUCCACGCAGCUUGCCCGGUCCUCUCAGGAAUUAAAUGGGGUAAGGAAAUAUUUUGAGUGAAAACUGUUAGUGAAUCAGAGGCUGAAUGUAUAUUUAUUUCUUUUCUAGUGGGGAAUAAAUGGUUUCAUUUACGUGGACAAGAGUUUAGAAGACCCUGCACGCUCAAUGAAGACGAAUAAAGCUUACGGUAAUUUUAGUAUUUUACUACAGAAGGGAUACAACACUGGAUAUAAAUCUUACUGAAUCUAUUUGCUAGCUGGCUUACCUUUGAUGUAAAGUGGUCUUGGAAAGACCCGGUCAUUGACACCAAACUUACGCUGAGUAUUAACCGGUAGAAGUUUAAAUGUGAAAUUUUUAAUAGAUGGUCGUUUUAUAAAUUUAGACAAAGUGAGGGUUAUUAAAUAAUUUCAUAACCUAGCACAAAGAUAAUAUAAGCAUAGAUAAAAAUAUGAUAAUCAAAUUGUAG